rnacentral:ncRNA from 1 species
GGGAUAAGCUCCAUGGUCGAGAGGGAAACAGCCCAGAGCAUCGACUAAGGCCCCUAAGCGUACGCUAAGUGGGAAAGGAUGUGGAGUCGCACAGACAACCAGGAGGUUGGCUUAGAAGCAGCCACCCUUGAAAGAGUGCGUAAUAGCUCACUGGUCUAGUGAUUCCGCGCCGACAAUGUAGCGGGGCUCAAGCGUACCGCCGAAGUCGUGUCAUUGCAGCAAUACGGCCAACGCCGGCUGUGAGUGGGUAGGGAGCGUCGUGUGCCGGGUGAAGCAGCACCGGAAGGUAGUUGUGGACGUUCACGAGUGAGAUGCAGGCAGUGAGU